GAUGAACGCUGGCGGCGUGCCUAAUACAUGCAAGUCGAGCGAACGGACGAGACGCUUGCUUUUCUGAUGUUAGCGGCGGACGGGUGAGUAACACGUGGAUAACCUACCUAUAAGACUGGGAUAACUUCGGGAAACCGGAGAUAAUACCGGAUAAUAUUUUGAACCGCGUGGUUCAAAAGUGAAAGACGGUCUUGCUGUCACUUAUAGAUGGAUCCGCGCUGCUGUAGCUAGUUGGUAAGGUAAAGGCUUACCAAGGCAACGAUGCAUAGCCGACCUGAGAGGGUGAUCGGCCACCCUGGAACUGAGACACGGUCCAGACUCCUACGGGAGGCAGCAGUAGGGAAUCUUCCGCAAUGGUCGAAAGCCUGACGGAGCAACGCCGCGUGAGUUAUGAAGGUCUUCGGAUCGUAAAACUCUGUUAUUAGGGAAGAACAUAUGUGUAAGUAACUGUGCACAUCUUGACGGUACCUAAUCAGAAAGCCACGGCUAACUACGUG
rnacentral:rRNA from 1 species